rnacentral:lncRNA from 1 species
UUGCCUUCAAUUCCCAAAAAACGAGGUUAUACCCAUUAGUUUAUCUAAUUCCAUUUAUUCCCAAACAAAAUCAGAUUAAUUUGUUUUCUUCCCAAACACAAAUUGCGCAAACUCAAUCCCCAACAAAUGACGACUAAUCAACCCAAACCCAUUUGUUUAGUUUAAUUGAAAGCUUAGUAAAGCAUUAGCAAUCAAAUUCAUCCUUCUUAAAUUUAUCCUUCUUCUGUUUCUU